rnacentral:tRNA from 1 species
GCCGCCUUAGCUCAGUUGGCAGAGCGUUACUUUUGUAAAGUAAAUGUCCCCAGUUCGAUCCUGGGAGGCGGCU